rnacentral:rRNA from 1 species
UGGUAGUAGCGAUCCACCCAGGCGAGAACCCUGAGGGCCGAAGUGGAGAAGGGUUUCUCGAGAACGGCACUCGCUCGAGAGUUAGUCGAUCCUAAGCUGCCGGCGGCAGCCACGAAACGGUCGAUCGGGCGCGAGCCCGGCAGCCACGACCGGGCAGCGAAAAGGGAAUUGGGAACCUCCUUCCCAAACCCGGAACCGGAACGAGGGCGGCGACGCGAACGAAACGGCCGCGGAGACGGCGGCCGCGGCCCCGGAGAGAGUUCUCUUUUCUGUGCGACUGGGACGUCCGGCCCCGGAAUCGCGUCGAGCGGAGGGGGGGUCGGAGUUCAGGAAUAGCACCCCGGCCUUUCGGGGUGUCCGGGCGGCCGCGGUCGUCCCAUGAAAAUCCGCGGAUGAACGAGUAGGCGACGGUCCGGGUCGUACCAAUGACCGCAUCGGGUCUCCAAGGUUGAAAGCCUCUGGCUAACGGGAC